rnacentral:guide_RNA from 1 species
AUAUAAACAAUAACAAUGGAUAGGUAGAGAUAAAGAAAUGAAGAUAUCU